AUAUUUAGGUAUAGCGUUGUGUCGUAAUAUAAGGGGGUAGAGCACUGAAUGGGCUAGGGCAUACACCAAUGUACCAAACCCUAUCAAACUCCGAAUACCUUAUAUGUAAUCACAGCAGUCAGGCGGCGAGUGAUAAAAUCCGUCGUCAAGAGGGAAACAACCCAGACUACCAGCUAAGGUCCCUAAAUCUUACUUAAGUGGAAAACGAUGUGAAGUUACUUAAACAACCAGGAGGUUGGCUUAGAAGCAGCCAUCCUUUAAAGAAAGCGUAAUAGCUCACUGGUCUAGUGAUUUUGCGCGGAAAAUAUAACGGGGCUAAAGUAAGUACCGAAGCUGUAGACUUGCGCACAACUUAGAUUAUUUAAGUUUAGAAUAUGAGAAACUAAGUUAUAUGUUUAGUUAUAUUUUUACUGAUUUUUAUAGAGUAAAGAUAGAAAUAAAACUUAGUAAAAUCAGUAAAAAUAUUCUUAGACUAAAGUUAAGUAGUUUAAGUUGUGUGCAAGUGGUAGGAGAGCGUUCUAUUUGCGUCGAAGGUAUACCGGUAAGGAGUGCUGGAGCGAAUAGAAGUGAGCAUGCAGGCAUGAGUAGCGAUAAUUAAUGUGAGAAUCAUUAACGCCGUAAACCCAAGGUUUCCUACGCGAUGCUCGUCAUCGUAGGGUUAGUCGGGUCCUAAGUCGAGUCCGAAAGGGGUAGACGAUGGCAAAUUGGUUAAUAUUCCAAUACCAACAUUAGUGUGCGAUGGAAGGACGCUUAGGGCUAAGGGGGCUAGCGGAUGGAAGUGCUAGUCUAAGGUCGUAGGAGGUUAUACAGGCAAAUCCGUAUAACAAUACUCCGAGAACUGAAAGGCUUUUUGAAGUCUUCGGAUGGAUAGAAGAACCCCUGAUGCCAUCGAGCCAAGAAAAGUUUCUAAGUUUAGCUAAUGUUGCCCGUACCGUAAACCGACACAGGUGGGUGGGAUGAGUAUUCUAAGGCGCGUGGAAGAACUCUCUUUAAGGAACUCUGCAAAAUAGCACCGUAUCUUCGGUAUAAGGUGUGGUUCGCUUCGUAUUAGGAUUUACUCCGAAAGCGAAGAAACUUACAACAAAGAGUCCCUCCCGACUGUUUACCAAAAACACAGCACUCUGCUAACUCGUAAGAGGAUGUAUAGGGUGUGACGCCUGCCCGGUGCUCGAAGGUUAAUUGAUGGGGUUAGCAUUAGCGAAGCUCUUGAUCGAAGCCCGAGUAAACGGCGGCCGUAACUAUAACGGUCCUAAGGUAGCGAAAUUCCUUGUCGGUUAAAUACCGACCUGCAUGAAUGGCGUAACGAGAUGGGAGCUGUCUCAAAGAGGGAUCCAGUGAAAUUGUAGUGGAGGUGAAAAUUCCUCCUACCCGCGGCAAGACGGAAAGACCCCGUGGACCUUUACUACAGCUUGACACUGCUAUUUGGAUAAGAAUGUGCAGGAUAGGUGGGAGGCUUUGAGUAUAUGACGCCAGUUGUAUAUGAGCCAUUGUUGAGAUACCACUCUUUCUUAUUUGGGUAGCUAACCAGCUUGAGUUAUCCUCAAGUGGGACAAUGUCUGGUGGGUAGUUUGACUGGGGCGGUCGCCUCCCAAAUAAUAACGGAGGCUUACAAAGGUUGGCUCAGAACGGUUGGAAAUCGUUCGUAGAGUAUAAAGGUAUAAGCCAGCUUAACUGCAAGACAUACAAGUCAAGCAGAGACGAAAGUCGGUCUUAGUGAUCCGGUGGUUCUGUGUGGAAGGGCCAUCGCUCAAAGGAUAAAAGGUACCCCGGGGAUAACAGGCUGAUCUCCCCCAAGAGCUCACAUCGACGGGGAGGUUUGGCACCUCGAUGUCGGCUCAUCGCAUCCUGGGGCUGGAGCAGGUCCCAAGGGUAUGGCUGUUCGCCAUUUAAAGCGGUACGCGAGCUGGGUUCAGAACGUCGUGAGACAGUUCGGUCCCUAUCUGCCGUGGGCGUAAGAAGAUUGAAGAGAUUUGACCCUAGUACGAGAGGACCGGGUUGAACAAACCACUGGUGUAGCUGUUGUUCUGCCAAGAGCAUCGCAGCGUAGCUAAGUUUGGAAAGGAUAAACGCUGAAAGCAUCUAAGCGUGAAGCCAACUCUAAGAUGAAUCUUCUCUAAGCUCUCUAGAAGACUACUAGUUUGAUAGGCUGGGUGUGUAAUGGAUGAAAGUCCUUUAGCUGACCAGUACUAAUAGAGCGUUUGGCUUAUCUUUAAUAAAGCAU
rnacentral:rRNA from 1 species